rnacentral:lncRNA from 1 species
CGGAGCAGGGUGCCUCAGGCGGUGCUUGGCCAGGUAUGAUUACUAAUUCACUGCGCGUCAAACAAUCCAUGCAUGGAAGGUUAUUUUCGUUAUUUUAUCAAAAUCGUGAGGGCAUUUUUGUCCUUUGACUUGAAAAAAAAAACCAUAAUCAUGACCCCAAAACAACCUUUGAAAAUAUUUUAUCCAAAUAGGGAUAAUGGGUGACAAUUGCAUGACUACCUGAAUGCCUCUUUUGGGGUGCCCUUAACCAACCACAGAGCAUAUUUGUUAUUUACGAAAAAAGAGAGGGUAUUUUGGUAUUUGAAUUAUCAAAAUUUUGGAAAAAUAUAUCUACAAUAUAUAGUCUAUUUUACAGCUAGAUUUUAACAAAAAUAAAAUUAAUAAAUAUAAUAUUCUCUUGAUGAUUUAACUUAAAUGAUAGAUAUUCAAUUAAUUUUUUUAAAAAAUAUUGAAAGUAGUUAAAUUACAUCUUACCUUACAUUGAAGAGGCCAUUUUGGGAAAUAUAAAAAAUAAGCAUUACUCAUAAACUAAUUAAAAAAAUAUUAAUAAAAAAUAGAGAAAUGGUCAAUAAUAAUAAUAAUAAAAUUAUAUAUUUAUGCAAUUUAAAAGAAAAUCACAUAAUGUAAAAUUAAAAAAAAAAUUAUUAUUUUUAAUGGGACAAAGUAGGGCUGGCAGGUGGUUUGGAAAUAUCGAAGGCCGCCACUAAUCUCAUCCCAUGGGUCACAUUCAAGCCAACCGGCUUUGAAUUCAAUUUUUCUCAAACCCACCAACCAAAUAAAGUGAGAAAUUAAAUUCCCAAAUAAUUAAAAAAUUCAAGUAAAAAAUGGUCUAAUUUGACCCUUUCAAGUUUGACUUCAUCAAUUUGACUUUGCAAGUUUAAAUUUGGAUUUUUAUUUUUAUUUUUUUAUUUUUGGGAAGUUGUGUAUAUUGGAUUUAUGUUGAGUCGAAGUCGAAAAUAGUAUACUUUGACCCUUUCUAGUCUGACUUCAUCAUUUGAACUUGCACGUGUGUUGGACCCUUUUUUUUUUUUAAAUAUGAAUCAAAAUUAAACAAAAUUUUAAAAAUAUUAUUUUAUUAAAAUAAAAUUAAUAAAAUAAUAAGCUUUUAUGUGUAGGGUUAUGGAAUGACAGAGGCCGGACCGGUGUUAUCGAUGUGCCUAGCCUUCGCCAAGCAGCCCUUUCCUACUAAGUCCGGCUCGUGCGGCACCGUUGUCCGCAAUGCUGAGCUCAAGGUCGUCGACCCUGAGACCGGUUGCUCCCUCGGCCGCAACCAACCGGGCGAGAUCUGCAUUCGAGGACAACAGAUUAUGAAAGGUUUGACUACUGAGAAAAGCGUUCAGCUACUAUGAUAGAAAAUGAACAAUUGAAGCAACUCCAUGCAUGCUCAUUCAUCAUUUUAACUAUAAUACCUGUAUUAUAGGAUACUUGAACGAUCCCGAGGCCACGGCCUCUACCAUCGAUGUUGACGGUUGGCUACACACCGGUGACAUUGGCUAUGUUGACGAUGAUGAAGAGGUGUUCAUCGUAGAUAG